rnacentral:rRNA from 1 species
GGAUGAACGCUGGCGGCGUGCUUAACACAUGCAAGUCGAACGAUUAACCCGCCCUCGGGCGGUUAUAGAGUGGCGAACGGGUGAGUAACACGUGACCAACCUGCCCCUUGCUCCGGGACAACCCAGGGAAACCUCGGCUAAUACCGGAUACUCCGCGCAGCCCGCAUGGGAGGCGCGGGAAAGCCCAGACGGCAAGGGAUGGGGUCGCGGCCCAUUAGGUAGACGGCGGGGUAACGGCCCACCGUGCCCGCGAUGGGUAGCCGGGUUGAGAGACCGAUCGGCCACAUUGGGACUGAGAUACGGCCCAGACUCCUACGGGAGGCAGCAGUGGGGAAUUUUGCGCAAUGGGGGAAACCCUGACGCAGCAACGCCGCGUGCGGGACGAAGGCCUUCGGGUUGUAAACCGCUUUCAGCAGGGAAUAUAGUGAAGGUACCUGCAGAAGAAGCUCCGGCUAACUACGUGCCAGCAGCCGCGGUAAUACGUAGGGAGCGAGCGUUAUCCGGAUUCAUUGGGCGUAAAGCGCGCGUAGGCGGCCCGUCAAGCGGGGUUUCAAAUCCAGGGGCUCAACCUCUGGCCGGACCCCGAACUGGCGGGCUCGAGUGCGGUAGAGGAAGGUGGAAUUCCCAGUGUAGCGGUGAAAUGCGCAGAUAUUGGGAAGAACACCGAUGGCGAAGGCAGCCUUCUGGGCCGCCACUGACGCUGAGGCGCGAAAGCUAGGGGAGCGAACAGGAUUAGAUACCCUGGUAGUCCUAGCCGUAAACGAUGGGCACUAGGUGUGGGGGAGCAUCUCCUCCGUGCCGCAGCCAACGCAUUAAGUGCCCCGCCUGGGGAGUACGGCCGCAAGGCUAAAACUCAAAG